rnacentral:rRNA from 1 species
UAAGGAAUAUUGGUCAAUGGACGCAAGUCUGAACCAGCCAUGCCGCGUGAAGGAUGAAGGUCCUCUGGAUUGUAAACUUCUUUUAUUUGGGAAGAAACCCAUUUUUUCUAGAGUGGUUGACGGUACCAGAUGAAUAAGCACCGGCUAACUCCGUGCCAGCAGCCGCGGUAAUACGGAGGGUGCAAGCGUUAUCCGGAUUCACUGGGUUUAAAGGGUGCGUAGGUGGGCAGGUAAGUCAGUGGUGAAAUCUCCGGGCUUAACCCGGAAACUGCCAUUGAUACUAUCUGUCUUGAAUACCGUGGAGGUGAGCGGAAUAUGUCAUGUAGCGGUGAAAUGCUUAGAUAUGACAUAGAACACCAAUUGCGAAGGCAGCUCACUACGCGAAUAUUGACACUGAGGCACGAAAGCGUGGGGAUCAAACAGGAUUAGAUACCCUGGUAGUCCACGCCCUAAACGAUGGAUACUCGACAUACGCGAUACACAGUGUGUGUCUGAGCGAAAGCAUUAAGUAUCCCACCUGGGAAGUACGACCGCAAGGUUGC